AAAAAUCAACAAGUGAAUAAAUACAGACAGAGGGUUACUCAAUGUCCUUGCCAACGUUCCAUUCAGGUUCCCGUCCAGUCAGCCUGAGUUCAUUCAACAGCCGUUGAGCUCCUCACAAAGACUUUGUGUCAUGUUGUGAAUGCAACAUGUUCGACAGCAUUCCUGCCGAGGAAAUAUCUCCUAUGAUGGGUGCACACUUCCAUGGAAGCAUCGCAAGGCCUUUGCAGAAUGGAACACUGAAAAAAUAAUCACCUUCUUCUCUUUGGUGGAUGAGAUGAAAUCUUUAUGCUCUCCUUCGAGAGGACAGACGAUGUUUGAAAGAAAACCUGAUUCUGAAAAUCUUAGCAACAAGGCCAUAAACUCUUUUGCUGUAAAUGAGGUUGUAGAGUGAUUAAAAUUGAAUCUUGAUGAAGA